CUACGGGGCGCUGCAGUGGGGAAUAUUGCGCAAUGGGCGAAAGCCUGACGCAGCAACGCCGCGUGAGUGAUGAAGGUCUUCGGAUUGUAAAGCUCUGUCAGAAGGAACGAAACAUCAGCGAGAACAAUACCUCGUUGACUUGACGGUACCUUCAAAGGAAGCACCGGCUAACUCCGUGCCAGCAGCCGCGGUAAUACGGAGGGUGCUAGCGUUGUUCGGAAUUACUGGGCGUAAAGCGCGUGUAGGCGGAUAAAGAAGUUGGGUGUGAAAGCCCUCGGCUUAACCGAGGAAGUGCGCUCAAAACCAGUUAUCUUGAGUUCCGGAGGGGAUCGGGGAAUUCCGAGUGUAGAGGUGAAAUUCGUAGAUAUUCGGAGGAACACCGGUGGCGAAAGCGCCGAUCUGGACGGAUACUGACGCUAAGACGCGAAAGCGUGGGUAGCAAACAGGAUUAGAUACCCGCGUAGUC
rnacentral:rRNA from 1 species